rnacentral:misc_RNA from 1 species
AAGACUAUAGACCUGCGGAGUACCUGCGGAGGGAUCAUUAUCGUAUUGUAACAAUUGGGGGGGCCACCGUGGGCUGUCGCUGACCCUUUGAAAGGGGGGUCGUGCACGCCCCCAUAGUGUCAUCCUCAUACAAUCCAACUCACCUCUGUGCAUCACCGCGUGGUUCCUUUCUGGGUCGAGUCAGACUGGCUCAGAAAAAAGGGGCUUGCGUUUUCCAUACAAAUACCCUUAUAAAUCCAG